AUUGAUUACUUUGAAAAAUGACACUUAUGUGGAUUGUUGGGGUGAAUAUUCGGUGGCUUUGCGAGGGAUAUGUGCUGAUGGCAACAACUAUCGCGAUGAGAUUUUGAAAGAGGGCGUGGAUAUUUGGUCGUCAUACAUACUUUGUGUAUCUAACCCUUCAUGUUUCAAGUCAACGGACAUCACAAUAAAGAAGAAAAUGAAGGCAUGUGUAUUUUACUGCAUUUAAACAACAUCCACUUAAGCAGAAAGCAUGAUCUUAGUCGGCGACGGCUUAGAAUUAUUAAAUUCCAUUGGUUUAUAAACAACUGAUUUACUUAAGAAUCUGGUACACUUUCUUUUGACUCCCGGGAAUUUGUUCCUUGCAUUUUGUGUAUUGUAAAUUCGUAUGAUACGCAUUUGAUGAUGAUGACAUUAAUAUGACAUUUAUGGGAAUGUCUGAACCUCCACUGUAAUGAAUACAGAUGAGACUGAGGAUGAUAUUUCCUAUUUCACAAUUCUUGACUUUUUUCUGUAUUGCAAAUAAUAUUAAAAUAAAACAUUUACCAAAAA